rnacentral:lncRNA from 10 species
GACAUGGCUUCUCCCCUUUCUAGUUCCCAUGACAGCCAUCUUGUGAUUACUCACUUUUGGGCCCUAUAUUUUUAACCUUCUUGUCAAAUUUAUUUCCUCCAGGAUCGAGGCCAUCAAGCUACAGAUGGUCUUACAAAUGGAACCCCAAAUGAGCUCAACUCACAACUUCUACUGAGGAACCCUGAACUGACCCACUGGGCCUUUGACUGGCCUAGAGAGUUCCCCACUGGAGGACACUACAACAGCAGGGCCCCUUCUUCACACCCAUCCAGCAGGAAGUAGCUAGAGUGGUCAUCGCCCAGUUCCCAACAGCAGUUGAAGUGCCCUGUUUAGAGGGGACAGUGAGAGGUGAGGCCAGCUGGACUUCCUGGGUCCAGUGGGGACUUGGGGAACUUUCCUGUCUUACAAGAAGAUUGUAAAACACACCAAUCAGCGCUCUGUAAAACGCACGAAUCAGUGCUCUAUAAAACGCACCAAUCGGCAGGAUUCUAAAAGUAGCCAAUCGUGGGGAGGAUUGAAAAAAGGGUAUUCUGAUAGGACAGAAAUGGAACAUGGGAGAGGACAAU